AGCACAGAGGCUUGAUCAGGAUCCAGCAGCUCCUCGCAGCACUCCUCCAUUUUGAACGUAGGAACGCUGAUUGUGUUGCAAAUGUUUAAUGAUCUGUGAUGCUCUGAAUCAUAUGAAACAUACAGACAGGCAGAGCCGAAGAAAAACAGGGACAGUUUCAUGUAAAACUGUGCUGUGGUGCAAUCAGGGUGGAUGUCAGCCUCAGAAAUGAGAGCAAAAUGAACAUCUUUAAGUUGUAAGAGAAGAAGACGUUGUCCUCCUUGUUUUACACUGACUGAAAUGUUGACGAACCAAACUGAUAAUUGAUUCAUCUGGAAAAUCAUCAACAGACUAAUCAACAGAUUAAAUCAAAGCCGCCAACAUGCACCAGCAGUGACAGCAGCAUUUGACAAGGAAAAGGGGGGAUCACUAAGCUGACGGACGCCAGCCUGAGAAGAAAGAUCCAGAGACUUGAAGGGAGAACAUACUGAAGGGCUGCACACAAUCUCUUCCAAUUCUCCUCUGGCAAAAUGACCACCCAGCCAUGCCAAAUGUGGAUCAGGAACGAGAGAGAGAUGAACAUUACACAAGCAAAAGGAAUUCUGGGUAAUACAAUGCCAGUGAUAAGCCUUUAGAUAGUCCUCUGUCCAUUUUGUUCAACAUGAGCAGACACUGUGAUGGUUGCAGGCCCGCUGAGCACUAGGUGGAUAGAACAGUUUCUCUCGAUGAUGCAACACCAAGAGAGCCGUGCAGCCGCAAAGUGGAGC